rnacentral:rRNA from 1 species
CAAAAGCGUAUAUUAAAGUUGUUGCAGUUAAAAAGCUCGUAGUUGAACCUUGGGCUUGGCUGGCCGGUCCAUCUUUUUUGAUGCGUGCUGGACCCAGCCGAGCCUUUCCUUCUGGCUAGCCUUUUGGCGAACCAGGACUUUUACUUUGAAAAAAUUAGAGUGUUCAAAGCAGGCCUUUGCUCGAAUAUAUUAGCAUGGAAUAAUAGAAUAGGACGUUAUGGUUCUAUUUUGUUGGUUUCUAGGACCAUCGUAAUGAUUAAUAGGGACGGUCGGGGGUAUCAGUAUUCAGUUGUCAGAGGUGAAAUUCUUGGAUUUACUGAAGACUAACUACUGCGAAAGCAUUUACCAAGGACGUUUUCAUUAA